rnacentral:lncRNA from 1 species
CGCCGCAGUAACGGCCGCGAUUCUGCUCCACUCCCUGCGGCAGAUUCCACGCGGCUCCAUCACUCCACGACUCUGCUCCACCUCUUGCGACGGAUUUCACACGGUUCCAUCACUCCCUGGCAGGCCAUAAUAAUGGCCACGGUCCUGCUCCACUUUCUACGACGGGUACCAUGCGAUUCUUCCAUUCUCUGGCAAGUCGCGACAACGGACACUGCUCCGCUCCUCGUGGCAGACUUCACGUGGCACAUCCCGAUGAUAGCCACGGGUCCACUCCACUACUCUUCGCAACAAACUUCUCCUGACUAUGGGUGGCCCACUGCCAGACGGUUACAGGCAUCGCUAUCAGUUUGUUGCCCCCUCCGCCUAUAAAAGGGUGAACCCCAGAUACGUUAUUGUAUAAGCUCUCAUUUUUACCUA